rnacentral:rRNA from 1 species
GUGAACGCUGGCGGUAGGCCUAACACAUGCAAGUCGAACGGCAGCACAGUAAGAGCUUGCUCUUACGGGUGGCGAGUGGCGGACGGGUGAGGAAUACAUCGGAAUCUACUUUUUCGUGGGGGAUAACGUAGGGAAACUUACGCUAAUACCGCAUACGACCUACGGGUGAAAGCAGGGGAUCUUCGGACCUUGCGCGAUUGAAUGAGCCGAUGUCGGAUUAGCUAGUUGGCGGGGUAAAGGCCCACCAAGGCGACGAUCCGUAGCUGGUCUGAGAGGAUGAUCAGCCACACUAGAACUGAGACACGGUCCAGACUCAUACGGGAGGCAGCAGUGGGGAAUAUUGGACAAUGGGCGCAAGCCUGAUCCAACCAUACCGCGUGGGUGAAGAAGGCCUUCGGGUUGUAAAGCCCUUUUGUUGGGAAAGAAAAGCAGCAGGUUAAUACCCCGCUGUUCUGACGGUACCCAAAGAAUAAGCACCGGCUAACUUCGUG